CCACACAGCGCCCUGCAAACCUGCUGAGUGCUUUCACAUGGUCCCAUGUGAGACCCACGGCCGAUGCCAAACACUCCUGUCCGAAACUGUUUUCAGAGUCAGCUUCAUCUCUAAGCCCCUCCUCGCCCCAGGGUCAAGAGCAUCAAUCAAGAGGGUGGUGGUGGUGGGGUGACAGGAAAGAAUAAAAAGCUCAGCAGCUCAACACAGAGAAGCACCUCCCCUCCCACGGUGAAGGUGUAAAGCAGAAGGCUGGCCAAGGACCAAGCUUCAAGAAAAUGUGAAACUCUGCACGAGGAUGCUAGCACGUACGAUUCCUGGCUUCUUGGGAAAUCUCACGCACAAAACUGCCUUUCUCCUCUGCACUGACCGAAUCCACAGUGAGACACCGUGAGGGACAAACUCAGGGAUCGAACUUGGGUCCUUGCACUUGCGCAGCAGGCGGCGAAACCACUAAGCUAAAUCCCCGGC
rnacentral:lncRNA from 1 species